UACGGGGGGGGUAAGCGUUGUUCGGAAUUACUGGGCGUAAAGGGCUCGUAGGCGGCCAACUAAGUCAUACGUGAAAUCCCUCAGCUUAACUGGGGAACUGCGUGUGAUACUGGAUGGCUUGGAUGUGGAGAGGGAUGCGGAAUUCCAGGUGUAGCGGUGAAAUGCGUAGAUAUCUGGAGGAACACCGGUGGCGAAGGCGGCAUCCUGGACCAUUAUUGACGCUGAGGAGCGAAAGCCAGGGGAGCAAACGGG
rnacentral:rRNA from 1 species